GGGUCGUUAGCUCAGUUGGUAGAGCAGUUGACUUUUAAUCAAUGCGAUAUGGAAGAUUCGAACCUGCCGCAGGUUCG
rnacentral:tRNA from 1 species